AACGAACGCUGGCGGCAGGCUUAACACAUGCAAGUCGAACGCACCUUUCGGGGUGAGUGGCAGACGGGUGAGUAACGCGUGGGAACGUGCCCUUCAGUUCGGAAUAACCCAGGGAAACUUGGGCUAAUACCGGAUACGUGCGAGAGCAGAAAGAUUUAUCGCUGAAGGAUCGGCCCGCGUCUGAUUAGCUAGUUGGUGAGGUAAUGGCUCACCAAGGCGACGAUCAGUAGCUGGUCUGAGAGGAUGAUCAGCCACAUUGGGACUGAGACACGGCCCAAACUCCUACGGGAGGCAGCAGUGGGGAAUAUUGGACAAUGGGCGCAAGCCUGAUCCAGCCAUGCCGCGUGAGUGAUGAAGGCCUUAGGGUUGUAAAGCUCUUUCGUCCGGGACGAUAAUGACGGUACCGGAAGAAGAAGCCCCGGCUAACUUCGUGCCAGCAGCCGCCGUAAGAC
rnacentral:rRNA from 1 species